rnacentral:rRNA from 1 species
GAUGAACGCUAGCGGCAGGCCUAACACAUGCAAGUCGAGGGAGAGGUUACCUUCGGGUAACCAAAACCGGCGCACGGGUGCGUAACGCGUAUACAAUCUGCCUUUCACAUAGGGAUAGCCCGAAGAAAUUUGGAUUAAUACCUAAUGGUAUAUAAGAGCGGCAUCGUUUUUAUAUUAAAGCUACGGUGGUGAAAGAUGAGUAUGCGUUCUAUUAGCUAGUUGGAGAGGUAACGGCUCCCCAAGGCGACGAUAGAUAGGGGUUCUGAGAGGGAUGUCCCCCACACUGGUACUGAGUUACGGACCAGACUCCUACGGGAGGCAGCAGUGAGGAAUAUUGGACAAUGGUCGGAAGACUGAUCCAGCCAUGCCGCGUGCAGGAUGAAGGUCCUAUGGAUUGUAAACUGCUUUUGUAAGGGAAGAAUAAGGAGUACGUGUACUUUGAUGACGGUACCUUACGAAUAAGCAUCGGCUAACUCCGUG